UCACUUUCAACAACGGAUCUCUUGGCUCUCGCAUCGAUGAAGAACGUACCGAAGUGCGAUAAGUAAUGUGAAUUGCAGAAUUCCGUGAAUCAUCGAAUCUUUGAACGCAAAUUGCGCUCUCUGGCAACCCGGGGAGUAUGCCUGUUUGAGGGUCAGU
rnacentral:rRNA from 1 species